GCCUUAUACAGAUGUAGCCACGCAAGGCAGUGGCGCAUCUCCCUUUAAGGCGGUGUUCACAUUAGAAACAUAGGUGAUAAGUCUGGUUGUGUGGCUCUUUAGUUGAAACCAGGUGAGCUUAUGUAGAGUAGGUUAGCCGUAAGACCUUGGGUUGAAAAACCCUAAAAUUGACCUGGAAAUAGCGAGUAUCGUUUCGCGAUUUUCGUUAUUCCCAGUUGCGGUAAG
ncrna:unclassified sequences IS605-orfB-I RNA